AUCCAGCUGACGAGUCUUAAAUAAAACAAAACGCAUGUCGUGGAU
rfam:Schistosoma haematobium scaffold6072_2, whole genome shotgun sequence.